UACAGGGGGGGCAAGCGUUGUUCGGAAUUACUGGGCGUAAAGGGUCUGUAGGUGGCCAACUAAGUCAGACGUGAAAUCCCUCAGCUUAACUGGGGAACUGCGUCUGAUACUGAAGAUCUUGAGUUCGGGAGAGGUGAGUGGAACUGCGAGUGUAGAGGUGAAAUUCGUAGAUAUUCGCAAGAACACCAGUGGCGAAGGCGGCUCACUGGCCCGAUACUGACGCUGAGGCACGAAAGCGUGGGGAGCAAACAGG
rnacentral:rRNA from 1 species